rnacentral:rRNA from 1 species
GAAUUUGGAACAAUGGGCGACAGCCUGAUCCAGCAAUGCCGCGUGCAGGAUGAGGGCCUUCGGGUUUUAAACUGCUUUUCUACGGAACGAAAAGCUUUGGGUUAAACCCCUGGAUUCAUGGCGUUACCGAAAGACAAAGCACCGGCUAACUACGUGCCACCAGCCGCGGUAAUACGGAGGGUUCAAGCGUUAAUCGGAAUUACUGGGCGUAAAGCGUGCGCAGGCGGUUUUGUAAGACAGAGGUGAAAUCCCCGGGCUCAACCUGGGAACUGCCUUUGUGACUGCAAGGCUAGAGUACGGCAGAGGGGGGUGGAAUUCCGCGUGUAGCAGUGAAAUGCGUAGAUAUGCGGAGGAACACCGAUGGCGAAGGCAACCCCCUGGGCCUGUACUGACGCUCAUGCACGAAAGCGUGGGGAGCAAA